rnacentral:rRNA from 1 species
CACCGCCCGUCACACCAUGGGAAUUGGAUCUACCCGAAGGUGGUGCGCCAACCUGGCAACAGGAGGCAGCCAACCACGGUGGGUUCAGUGACUGGGGUG